UACGGAGGGGGCUAGCGUUGUUCGGAAUUACUGGGCGUAAAGCGCGCGCAGGCGGCCUUUCAAGUCAGUGGUGAAAGCCCGGAGCUCAACUCCGGAACUGCCAUUGAAACUGUUUGGCUUGAGUACGAGAGAGGUGAGUGGAAUUCCCAGUGUAGAGGUGAAAUUCGUAGAUAUUGGGAAGAACACCGGUGGCGAAGGCGGCUCACUGGCUCGUAACUGACGCUCAGGCGCGACAGCGUGGGGAUCAAACAGG
rnacentral:rRNA from 1 species